GCGUUCCUACGGGGGGCAGCAGUGAGGAAUAUUGGUCAAUGGGCGGGAGCCUGAACCAGCCAAGCCGCGUGAGGGAAGAAGGUACAGCGUAUCGUAAACCUCUUUUGUCAGGGAACAAAGGCGGGGACUAGUCCCCGGAUGAGGGUACCUGAAGAAAAAGCAUCGGCUAACUCCGUGCCAGCAGCCGCGGUAAUACGGAGGAUGCGAGCGUUAUCCGGAUUUAUUGGGUUUAAAGGGUGCGCAGGCGGCACGGCAAGCCGGCGGUCAAA
rnacentral:rRNA from 1 species